rnacentral:rRNA from 2 species
ACGGGAGGCAGCAGUGGGGAAUAUUGGGCAAUGGGCGCAAGCCUGACCCAGCGACGCCGCGUGAAGGAAGAAGGUCUUCGGAUUGUAAACUUCUGUUGUAAAGGACGAAAAAAAUGACGGUACUUUACGAGGAAGCCACGGCUAACUACGUGCCAGCAGCCGCGGUAAUACGUAGGUGGCGAGCGUUAUCCGGAUUUACUGGGUGUAAAGGGUGUGUAGGCGGGAAGGCAAGUCAGAUGUGAAAAUUAUGGGCUUAACUCAUAACCUGCAUUUGAAACUGCUUUUCUUGAGAGUCGGAGAGGUAAAUGGAAUUCCCAGUGUAGCGGUGAAAUGCGUAGAUAUUGGGAGGAACACCAGUGGCGAAGGCGAUUUACUGGACGACAACUGACGCUGAUACACGAAAGCGUGGGGAGCAAACAGGAUUAGAUACCCUGGUA